rnacentral:rRNA from 1 species
CUAUCGAGAUGGGACUAAGCCAUGCUAGUCGCGCGCGUCCAACCACGAGGACGAGCGGCAUACCGCUCAGUAACACGUAGCUAACCUACCCUCGGGUCGCGGAUAACCCCGGGAAACUGGGGCUAAUCCACGAUAGGUGUGGAGGCCUGGAAUGGUUCCACGCUCAAAUGGACGGCAGUCACGUUUGUCAUCUGCCCGAGGAUGGGGCUGCGGCCGAUCAGGCAGUUGGUGAGGUAAUAGCUCACCAAACCUUUGACCGGUACGGGCCAUGAAAGUGGUAGCCCGGAGAUGGGCACUGAGACAGGGGCCCAGGCCCUACGGGGCGCAGCAGGCGCGAAAACUCCACAAUGUACGGAAGUACGAUGGGGUUAUCUCGAGUGCAGUCCGAUAAGGGCUGCUUUUCCAUAGAGUAAUAUCCUGUGGGAAUAAGAGGGGGGCAAGACUGGUGUCAGCCGCCGCGGUAACACCAGCCCCUCGAGUGGUGGGGACUUUUAUUUGGCCUAAAGCGUCCGUAGCUGGCUGUAUCCGUUUCCCGGCAAAUCCGGCGUCCUAAGCGUCGGGCUUCGGGUAAUACCAUACAGCUAGAGGGUGGGAUAGGUGAGCGGUAUUUCUGGGGUAGGGGCGAAAUCCUUUGAUCCCAGGAGGACCACCAGUGGCGAAGGCUGCUCACUAGAACACGCCUGACGGUCAGGGACGAAAGCUGGGGCAGCGAACCGGAUUAGAUACCCGGGUAGUCCCAGCUGUAAACGAUGCUAGCUAGGUGUUGGGUCGGCCACGCGCCGCCCCAGUGCCGCAGGGAAGCCGUUAAGCUAGCCGCCUGGGGAGUACGGCCGCAAGGCUGAAACUUAAAGGAAUUGGCGGGGGAGCACCACCAGGCGUGAAGCCUGCGGUUUAAUUGGAGUCAACGCCGGAAAUCUUACCAGGAUCGACAGCAUAGUGAAGGCCAGAUUAAAGGUCUUGCUAGACGAGCUGAGAGGAGGUGCAUGGCCGUCGCCAGUUCGUGCCGUGAGGUGUCCUCUUAAGUGAGGUAACGAACGAGACCCCCACCCCAUGUUGCCAUCAGGAUCUAAAGGAUCGCUGGGCACUCUUG